rnacentral:rRNA from 1 species
UACGUAGGGUGCGAGCGUUGUCCGGAAUUAUUGGGCGUAAAGAGCUCGUAGGCGGUCUGUUGCGUCCGCUGUGAAAACUCGGGGCUUAACCCCGAGCCUGCAGUGGAUACGGGCAGACUAGAGGUAGGUAGGGGAGAAUGGAAUUCCCGGUGUAGCGGUGGAAUGCGCAGAUAUCAGGAGGAACACCAAUGGCGAAGGCAGAUCUCUGGGCCGUAACUGACGCUGAGGAGCGAAAGCAUGGGGAGCGAACAGG